GUAUGCCGGAAGGGAUAAAUCUGGGGCUGAGUACAAGCAAAACAAGACCAAAGGAAGCUACCUGAGCAGGUAUUCCAGAUACUCAUGUCAUACACCAAGGUUGUACCAGUGCCCCUUUCUCUGUGACACAUCCAUCCACUGGAAACUUUCGUACAACUAGCUGAAAGAAGAGAAACAUCCUAUUUCAUGGGUGGAUAUCCUCCUCCACUGAAUGCAAACUAUUAAGUAAUGAAAAGACAGCACUCCAAGCAAUAUAGAUUUAUAGGCCAACCUGGCAAUCAAGGGUAACUGACAUGAAAAUGGAUUGCUUCACAUUUUAAUUACAAAGGUAUUAGCCCCAUAUAAUGUUUCUUACAACAGAAGGUCUAUUAAUGGUUUUUCCAUCUUACUGAUUAACCAUAUUACCUUCUAGAUACUCUUCAGUACCAUAAAUUGAAGAAAACACUAACUUUUUGUGGCUACUGUAAUUGUCAAAGUAUAAUUACCUGUGUUUUCUCACCUACGUAUUUGAGAUAGAGACAAAACCAAGUAAGUUAAUCCACUUAUAAUAAAAAUGUCUUCUGAGAA
ensembl:lncRNA novel transcript